CUUUUCUCCAGAGCAGCAUAAGCCAGGCUCUAUGGAAUGUUGGGUGAGCUGCUUGAGGAACUCCAAGGCCUGUCCCACAGUCUUCCAGCCUCCGACUCUCCGGCCCUCAGCGAGGAAGUCCCACUGGUUUUUUUGGUUGGUUUUUUUUUUUUUUUUCUCAUUCCUGUCUUGGGAGCUUUCCCCAACCAGGAGAGUGAAGAUGGGCGGAGCUGUCACACCAACUGUUAGCCUGCCUUGGCUGAGAGGAGAGGAGGCGAGGAGGGAGCGACCACCCAGCUUUAGUCGUUUUAAAACAGCUCCUGACCCUAGAAGAAGGGAAAUGGAGAUGAAGACCCAAUUGACUUGGUAUGAAGUUUAAAUGCCCCUUCAAGACUUGGGGGUCGAGGACGGUGAGAUUGGCUCAGUGGAUAGAUUCACUUGCCUCUAAGCCUGACAACCUAAGUUAAUAUCCUCUACCCACAUAUGGAAGGAAAAAAAUGAUUUCCAAAAGUUGUCCUCUGACCUCCACACAGAGACCAUGGCCUGUGCACCACCCCCCGAAAAUGUAAUAUAUUUUUUAAAAAGACAUGGGGACUUCCAUUCAGUGUCUCCCAAUGUUUGGGGAUUUCCUUUCCUUAUUUCCUUACUCCCUGUCGGUGCCCUAGAGGAGACAGAGAGAGUCUAACUACGGAGAGGUCAUUCUCUAGGUUGGUUGGUGGAAUAUUCAGGACUCCUGGGAAGGCUCCAACUGG
ensembl:lincRNA Gm3764 predicted gene 3764